AUUGAACGCUGGCGGCAGGCCUAACACAUGCAAGUCGAGCGGUAGAGAGGUGCUUGCACCUCUUGAGAGCGGCGGACGGGUGAGUAAUGCCUAGGAAUCUGCCUGGUAGUGGGGGAUAACGCUCGGAAACGGACGCUAAUACCGCAUACGUCCUACGGGAGAAAGCAGGGGACCUUCGGGCCUUGCGCUAUCAGAUGAGCCUAGGUCGGAUUAGCUAGUUGGUGAGGUAAUGGCUCACCAAGGCGACGAUCCGUAACUGGUCUGAGAGGAUGAUCAGUCAAACUGGAACUGAGACACGGUCCAGACUCCUACGGGAGGCAGCAGUGGGGAAUAUUGGACAAUGGGCGAAAGCCUGAUCCAGCCAUGCCGCGUGUGUGAAGAAGGUCUUCGGAUUGUGAAGCACUUUAAGUUGGGAGGAAGGGUCGUUACCUAAUACGUGACGAUUUUGACGUUACCGACAGAAUAAGCACCGGCUAACUCUGUGCCAGCCGCCGCAGUAACAC
rnacentral:rRNA from 1 species